AUUGAACGCUGGCGGCAGGCUUAACACAUGCAAGUCGAGCGGGGUGAUGGUGCUUGCACUAUCACUUAGCGGCGGACGGGUGAGUAAUGCUUAGGAAUCUGCCUAUUAGUGGGGGACAACAUCUCGAAAGGGAUGCUAAUACCGCAUACGUCCUACGGGAGAAAGCAGGGGAUCCUUAUGACCUUGCGCUAAUAGAUGAGCCUAAGUCGGAUUAGCUAGUUGGUGGGGUAAAGGCCUACCAAGGCGACGAUCUGUAGCGGGUCUGAGAGGAUGAUCCGCCACACUGGGACUGAGUCACGGCCCAGACUCCUACGGGAGGCAGCAGUGGGGAAUAUUGGACAAUGGGGGGAACCCUGAUCCAGCCAUGCCGCGUGUGUGAAGAAGGCCUUAUGGUUGUAAAGCACUUUAAGCGAGGAGGAGGCUCUUUUGGUUAAUACCCAGAAUGAGUGGACGUUACUCGCAGAAUAAGCACCGGCUAACUCUGUGCCAGCCGCCGCGGUAA
rnacentral:rRNA from 1 species